rnacentral:lncRNA from 1 species
CAGACAAACAUAUGAAUACAACUUCUCCUCCUCUACCUUCUGUCACAGCAGCAGAACCUCCGAUCCCAAACCUGUCAUGUCCACUUUCUCAUUCAACACGCUGCACCACAUCUCAACCAACACCGACAUCUCAACAAGCAGCAGUACAACCUCCUCCUCAACCUUCAGUCACAGCUGCAGAGAGUCCAAUCCCAAACCUGUCAGGUCCACUUUCUCAUUCACCACGCAGCACAACGUCUCAACCAACACCAACAUCUCAGCAAGAAGUACAAGCAAACACACCUAAGAUUACAACUUCUCCUCCUCGACCUUCAGCCACAGCAGCAGAAACUCCAACCCCAAAUCAGUCAGGUCCUCUUUCGCAUCUCCCAGGCCGCACCAAGACUCGACCAACACCAACAUCUCAGCAAGCAGCAAAAGCAAACACUAAAACGCAUGUGAGUUCAACCGCUCCUCCUCCACCUUCAGCUACAGAAGCAGAAACUCCAAACCCAAAUCAGUCAGGUCCUCUUUCGCAUCUCCCAAGCCG